UCAGCUAAAAAUAAGUUUAAUAAAAUUAUUAAACGAAGUUAACAUUAAUAAACAUUAUUUUAUAAAUUAAUUAAAUUAAAAUUAAAACUCGAUAGCAUUUGAAUCGGCUGCUUCGAUGUCAGCCUACUGCACAUAAAUAAUGCAGUGUUCUCGGCGUAUUCUGCGGAUAUAUUUAUGUUCUUGUUUAUAAUCAUAAAUGCCUCUUGAGUUAAUCAUAAAUGCCUCUUAUAAUUAUAAAAUUAUCAAUGUUUUUUAUAUAAUAGUAUUUCUUUAUUUUUAAGUGUUACUUUUUAUUAUUUUUAUGAUAUCUGAAUUGUCAUGUAAUAAUAAAUCCAAACGUAUUAUGGAAGACCAGAUAGAGAGAUCAUUAAAUGACAUUCCUAUUCCAAAGUCAUCUGUUGAAUAUAUAUACGAUAGUGGUGUAGUUGUAGAGCGCACGCUUCAUAAUCGAGAGGUUCCAAGAUUGGUUCCCACCACGUCCCUGGUAGUACCGCGCUCAACUCGUUUCUCCACGCAGUGGCCUUGUCGUGUUUCGGAGUUAUAGAUUUGAGAGAGGGUUAUAACCACAACUAAGUAGCCUCCUCGUUUGUAGUGGCCUUCUCGGCGUUGGGGAGGUGAAAUACGAAAAAAAAAAAAAAAAAAAAAAGAUUCAGUUACCUCAUGUUCUUAAAUAAAAAGACACAAUGCAAAAAGAUAGAAUUUAGACUGUUUGAAGCUUGCGCCAUAUUGAUUGGAUCGUGAUAAAUGUGCAUCAAAUCAAAAUUAGUGCAAUGACAAAAGGCGAUAAAAAUACAUAUGAAUUUCAUAUCGGUGAUGAAGAUAACGAUAUCAUGAUUUUAUCAAGAUCGUUUUAAAAAAAAUUUUAAUUUUCUAUAAGUUUUUGUUCCAAAAAUGAAUAAAUUAUUUUUUUGGUUUUAUUACCUUUCAAUAAUUGCUUUUUGAUUUCUAUAAUUUAGUUACCUGGUUCAAAAAAAUGGUACAGGGCAGAUUAUUUGAAAUACUAUAACAACAGUUAGUACUAUAAGAUAAACUAAUGAUACUAAUAAUGAUAAUAAGUGCCCAACAGGGCACACGACAUUACUUCGACGUUGAUUUACGGUUGGUUUUUAGUCGCGACGUCGCCAAUUAUUUUUCCGUACACCAUUAGCAGUAUCAUUAUCCGUUGGCAGUAUCUUUUUAAACAGCCGAUUAUUUCGAAAUGAAAACAUUAAAAAGUGGGCGUUUUAAAUUAAAUUUAAAAAUCGAACAAACAAGUCUUUUUUUAUCAAAAUAUCGCUUUAAUAAUUAAUAAUUAUAAAUGCGACAAC
rnacentral:misc_RNA from 1 species